rnacentral:lncRNA from 1 species
UGUGUACCACCAAUGCCCAGCUUAUUUUUCUCAUUCUUAUUCCAGGCUAGGGAUCAAUAAACUACAAUGUGGAAGAAGGAGCCAGCUGUUCAAGAAACCGGGAAAAGAAUAUUUUAGGCAGAAUGAUGACGUAUAAAAGCCUUGGAGUCAGAAAUUAUUUGCCAUGCUUCGUGGAUGAAGGAAGCUUUUACACAUGUUCCUCUGAUAUAAGAGAAAACAAGACAUAAGCUAGCCAGCUCUAUCAUCUCGCCACAGGCUGAGGACAAAAGGUCCAUGUGAUCAUAAACUUAUACCAGGACUCAGCAGGGUAGUGAAUGCUUCAAUUUCUCCAGAUCCAGAAGUUGUGGGGAAGAGCACAGAUGAAUGUCCUUCUAAACUUCAGCUCCCUCUGACCUCCAACUGCCUCCAUCAUAUUUGUCUCAUGGAUCUCCAAAGGCAGAAGUACAGCAUCUUCACAGCUGCCUUUCUGCCUUUCAGAUACCUAAGUCAUAUAGUUUUAGAGCACUUUGACCCUCCUGCCUGUCUUUGAUAGGGAAUCUGUAAUUAGAUUAGGCUUCUUCAAUUUAAAGACUCUUAUGUAAAUUCUUUGUUUCCCGUGAGGCAAUAUAAUCCCAUGAAUUAGGGCAUGGCCAGUUUUUGGAGACCAUUGCACAGCCUGCUAAGGCACUCUUCUUUAAGGACAUCUCAUUUUCUUUGAGGACUAGUGCUUCACAUAGUAUUUCAUGUACUGAUAUUCCAAGACUUUAUAUAUAAAGGUAAGAGAAUGUCUUAAAAUCUUAUCUGUUUCAAGCCUGUCCAGAAAUAUCAAGAGUUGGUUGUUCUGACUCCUAAAAAUAUGGUGAUGAAACAGCAGCAGAGUGAGUGAAUUUUAUUUUUUGUUCAUUGUUGGUGGUUUUAAAAAAAUCCCCCCGUGUAAUUAUUGUGAACACCUUGCUUUGUGGUCACUGUAACAUUGGGGGGUGGGACAGGGAGGAAAGUAAUAGUCCACAUGUCUCUGGCAUUUGUUCAGAGCAGUGUGCAGAAUGUAACGCUCCUUUAUAAGAAACGUUUUAUGUUUUUAAAAUAAAUUAAGUGAAUCUAUUUUUGGUGGUCUUUCU